rnacentral:rRNA from 1 species
AAACGACUCUCGGCAACGGAUAUCUCGGCUCUCGCAUCGAUGAAGAACGUAGCGAAAUGCGAUACUUGGUGUGAAUUGCAGAAUCCCGCGAACCAUCGAGUCUUUGAACGCAAGUUGCGCCCGAAGCCGGACGGCCGAGGGCACGUCUGCCUGGGCGUCACGC